GAUUUACCGUCAAACUACGAAUCUUGGGGAUAAAGUUUACGUGCUCGAUGAAGCAAGCCACGCGUAGGAGGAACUGCAGAAGAAAAUGAAGACCGUCCUAGUUGCUAUUUUCGUCUUUAUACUGCUCGGCCAGGGUAAGGCUCUGAAGUGUGUCUGCGGAGGAGAACGUCAGUGUCCACAAUCGACAGAAACCUGCGCUGGUGACAAUGAUGUCUGUGCCACUGUUUUUCCCAUUGGUUCAGGUGCCACUAAAUUCAAAGGCUGCAAUACAUGGAAUGAAUGCAUGAGAUCGUCUGAUACCACCCAUGUACGUUUCUGCUGCACGACUGAUUUCUGCAACCGUCUUCUUUGAUGGAUCAAAAAAAAUAAGAAGAGUGAAAUAAAAAAAGUGUCAAACUUGCAACCCCGUCCACCGUUGGCAUUGAAAUGAUGUUGGUUUUCUAAAAUAAAAUUGAGAUAAAAUCAGA